rnacentral:rRNA from 1 species
CGACCUGAUGCAGCCAUGCCGCGUGUGUGAAGAAGCCUUCUGGUUGUAAAGCACUUUCUGUUGUGAGGAAAGGUUGGUAGUUAAUACCUGCCAGCUGUGACCUUAACAACAGAAGAAGCACCGGCUAACUCCGUGCCAGCAGCCGCUAUAAU